UCUGAGCCUGAGUCCUGCUCACAUCUCUUUGUGCACUGCAAUUUCACCAAGCUAGUUUGGCUUCAUUUUAAGGCACGGACGAGGGCUGAUUUCCUGAUCCCUGAUGUUACCUUCAGCUCUACCGAAGAGUGGUGGUUGAAGGCAAGGGCGACGAUCCCGAAGCCAAUGUGGAGGAACUUCGACACGAUUGUCAUUCUUCUUCACUGGAGGAUUUGGAAGGAAAGGAACGCGAGGAUCUUUGAUAAUGUGGCAAGUUCCGCUGAUAAGAUUCGGGACCUGAUCCUGGAGGAUAUCGGCGUCUGGAGGGCCGCGGGUUGUAUUAGCGAUUUGGUGGCAUGA
rnacentral:rRNA from 1 species